rnacentral:rRNA from 1 species
CCUACGGGAGGCUGCAGUGGGGAAUAUUGGGCAAUGGGCGCAAGCCUGACCCAGCAACGCCGCGUGAAGGAAGAAGGCUUUCGGGUUGUAAACUUCUUUUGACAGGGACGAGUAGAAGACGGUACCUGUCGAAUAAGCCACGGCUAACUUCGUGCCAGCAGCCGCGGUAAUACGGAGGUGGCGAGCGUUAUCCGGAAUGAUUGGGCGUAAAGGGUGCGUAGGGGGCCUGCUAAGUCUGGAGGGAAAGGUACCGGCUCAACCGGUACCGGCACUGGAAACUGGGGGGCUAGAGAGAAGGAGAGGGAGGUGGAAUUCCAUGUGUAGCGGUAAAAUGCGUAGAUAUAUGGAAGAACACCAGUGGCGAAGGCGGUCGGCUGGCCUGUUACUGACGCUGAGGCACGAAAGCGUGGGGAGCAAAUAGGAUUAGAUACCCUUGUAGUC